GCCGAAGUGGCGAAAUGGCAGACGCGCUACGUUCAGGUCGUAGUGCUCGCAAGUGCGUGUGGGUUCAAAUCCCACCUUCGGCACCA
rnacentral:tRNA from 1 species